rnacentral:rRNA from 1 species
GUCUAUUAUGAAGUUAUUUAUAGUCCGGCCUGCUCCCUGACUAUAAAGUUAAAGAGCCGCGGUAAUUUGACCGUGCAAAGGUAGCAUAAUCAUUAGUUUCUUAAUUGGGAACUUGUAUGAAAGGUCUGACAAAGGAAAAGCUGUCUUUAUUGUAAAGGUUGAAUUUAACUUUUAAGUGAAAAGGCUUAAAUGAUUUAGAGGGACGAUAAGACCCUAUAAAGCUUUAUAUAAAAAAUAAUCAAAAUUGAAUUUAUAAUAAAAAUUUAAAUUAAUUAUUAUAUUUUAUUGGGGUGAUAUUAAUAAAAGUAAUAUUAACUGUUAAAAAAAAAUACGUGAAUAAAAGAAUUGAAUAUAUUAAUGAUCCUUGUUUAAAGAUUAAAAGAUUAAGUUACUUUAGGGAUAACAGCGUAAUUCUUCUUAAGAGUUCAUAUCGAAAGAAGAGAUUUUGACCUCGAUGUUGAAUUAAAAUAUCUGUGUAAAGUAGCCAUUACAUGAGAAGGUC